rnacentral:rRNA from 1 species
GACGAACGCUGGCGGCGUGCCUAAUACAUGCAAGUUGAGCGAUGAAGAUUGGUGCUUGCACCAAUUUGAAGAGCAGCGAACGGGUGAGUAACGCGUGGGGAAUCUGCCUUUGAGCGGGGGACAACAUUUGGAAACGAAUGCUAAUACCGCAUAACAACUUUAAACAUAAGUUUUAAGUUUGAAAGAUGCAAUUGCAUCACUCAAAGAUGAUCCCGCGUUGUAUUAGCUAGUUGGUGAGGUAAAGGCUCACCAAGGCGAUGAUACAUAGCCGACCUGAGAGGGUGAUCGGCCACAUUGGGACUGAGACACGGCCCAAACUCCUACGGGAGGCAGCAGUGGGGAAUCUUCGGCAAUGGACGAAAGUCUGACCGAGCAACGCCGCGUGAGUGAAGAAGGUUUUCGGAUCGUAAAACUCGGUUGGUAGAGAAGAACGUUGGUGAGAGUGGAAAGCUCAUCAAGUGACGGUAACUACCCAGAAAGGGACGGCUAACUACGUG